rnacentral:rRNA from 1 species
CAGUAGCGUAUAUUAAAGUUGUUGCAGUUAAAAUGCUCGUAGUUGAAGUUCGGAUGCAGCAGAGCUUGGAAACGCUGUUAUGGUGCUUCCGUUGCUUUUGCUUGUCCACAGUGCGUUGCAAGUACGUAUGUGCUUGUGCGUGCAUUUUACUUUGAGAAACAUAGGGUGUUCCACGCAUGUUACGGCAUGAAUAUUCCAGCAUGGGAUAAUCUGGUACGACUUCCAAUCUGCCAUUUUGGUUCGUAGGUUGGAAGUAAUGAUUAAUAGGGACUGUCGGGGGCAUUGGUAUUUGACUGUCAGAGGUGAAAUUCUUAGAUUCGUUGAGGACCAACCACUGCGAAAGCAUUUACCAAGGAUGUUUNCAUUA